GUGACUCGUCAGGGUCACACAGACGGGACCCAGCUAGAACAGCAGGUGACAAGCAGGACUGCCUGGGCCAGGGAGGCCUGGCUGCACCCGCCUGGCUACCCACAGCUUUGUGCAAGGCGGCUUCCUGUCCCAGUUCCCCGCCCCUCCCGGACCUGCUGCCUCUGACACCCAGAGCCUCCCUCCUCUGGCAGAGGGCAAGGCCAGCAGAGACCGUGCCCGGCUCAGGGUGCGUACAGAGUCCCAGAGAAGGAGGAGAAAGAGGAGGCAAGCCUCUGUAGGAGGUGGUACAGACUCCCCUCCCAGGGUCACUGAGAGCACUGGAUGGGAGAAGCCUGGGGGGCAUUCCUGGAAGGCCCACCUCCCGCAGUGACACCAGGGAGCCCCACUGGCACAGGUAGGACCACAUCAUAAAGGGCUCGCUGUGCACACCCAGCACUGGACUCUGAGCUUACCCAGAACUGCUGCAUUCAAUCCUCAUAGCAGCCCAACGAGGUGGGUACUGCUGUGAUCCUUAUUUUACAGGUGGGGAAACUGAGGCACGGGGAGGUGGAACAGCUUGUCUGAGAUCUCACGCAACCUCCCCCAUCAUCCCUGUGAGCCCACGGCUUAAAUAGGAACCAGAACAAGGCUCGGUCUCCUCAGCCUUGGUCACCGGCCCCGGCCUGGGACAGUAACUGUAAGUAUGCCUUCCACUGGGGAGAGCCUCCAGAGAGGCGUCGGGGCCCCUGUGCCGCCGGACAGGUCCCGGGGAUGCAGGGAGGAUGGAACAGGCUGGGGCUGGACCCCCUGUCAUCAUGGCAACAGCAGUCCCGGAGGUCCCUUUCCACUCCCAAGCCUGCCCCCGGGGCCUCACCAGGACCUACUGGUGAAUACACUUGUGCUCGGUGAGCCGUGUGGAUGGGGAGACCCCAGGAAGGAGCACACCUCUCUUGGCACAGCUCCCGUGUCCCCCUUGUUGGUUGUCUCCUGCCGGCCUCACCACCUUCCCUGUGCUUCCCUUUUUGCAGGUGAGAAAAGUCAGGCCCAGAGAGGGACAGUGGGGAGUCCAGGUUCCCAUAGGGACCUUCUGGAAAGCCAGGUGGGACCAGAGCCCAGAGUUCUAGCCACUCAUCGGGGCUCCAUCCUCUGCAGAGACGCCCAGAACAGAACCGUGCUGGGCCCCCUGUGCUCAUUGGGUCUCAGCGCCCUUGUGCGCCGUGGAAGAUGGGAAACCCUGGAGGGGGCCCUGGCCCAGGCUUUCAGCCGUGCUGCUGAGCCCUCGAUCUAGCCACCAGCUGCUGAGCUCCUUACACGCGCUCCGCCAUCCGAGGCUUAGAGCAAACUUCUGAGGUGGUUACUGAGAUUACUCCCAUUUUACAGAUAAGGAAAUCGGGAACAGAGAAGCUCAUAAUUUGCCCCAAAUUUCACACUCUCCAGGAUUCCAACUGGGGUCACCUAGCUCCAGAAUUCACCCUUCCAAAUCUCUUUCUCCCACCAACAUGAUUCUCUUGGGUCUUAGGGGUCAGCUGGGCAAUGGGAGAAACCCAGCUGGGCUGGCCUCAAGGCCCCUUUGAUGCUGAGUGACCCUGGAGCACUGCUCAACGUCUC